rnacentral:lncRNA from 1 species
CCACCUUCAACCAUUCUCACUCCAGCCCACUUCAUCUUCUUCCUACAAUGCAAAUCGCUACUUACGCGCCACCCUAAUCACCUCAUAUCUUCAUCUUCUUCUACAAAACAAUUUCCCAUCUCUGUAAAUCGAAAUCUGCAAAACAAACCCAAAAUUCAGAUUCUGAAAAUUAGAUGUUGGAAAGGCGAAAUAAAGAAUGGCAUCAACAGCUGCUUCUUUGGGUUCGUAAACUUUAUUCUGUCAAUUGGUGGUCCUAAACUUCAAAAAUCUUCUGUUUCUAAUCCUAGUUCACUCACUUUUACGAGGUAUAUAGAGGUUGCUACGUCUGUCUUGGGUAAUUUCUUUUCUAUUGUUCGGAUAAACUUUUGGUUCUUGAUUCUUGGAAUUUUGUUCUGAAAGUCAAUUUAACAAAGUGUUUGAAGUUUUACCAAAAGAGUCUUGAAUUGUUUGAUAGUUAAUUAAAUGUAUGACAUAAUAACUGAGAUUAGAAGUACUUUUCUUUAGGUAUUAGGAUAUUGAUAGGCAUACUUUGGUAACUAGUCCUGUUUGACCCCCAUUAAGUUACAUUCUAUUUUUCUCUCUCUUAUUUUUAGCUACACAAUUUUUCAUAAAAUAAUAUUAAAAGUAACUUUCUUUUUCAACAAGUUAUUAAAAAAAAAAAAACACUAUUACACCCAUUAUCAUUUUCAAAAAAGGGGCCAAAUAGAGGUAUAGUUUGUGAAUUUGCAUAUGCUAUAAUACGAAAGAAGUUAACUUUUUGGUAUUUAUUAGAUAUUUCUGCCCUAUUUGAGUCGCAUUCUUUGAAAAAAAAUACAUUUUUAAACAGUGAUUUGACAUUAUUUUAAUUACACAUUCUUUAAUAAAGUAAUAUUACAUAUAAAUUCAAAAAAUUUCUUUAUUUUUUAACAACAUAUUCUCCAUCAAUUUACAAUUCUAAAAACACACUUGUCAAGUACAUAUAUAUAUAUAUAUUUUUAAAUAUCUUAAUAUGAAUUAGUUUUCAGCUCCCUUCAAUGAAGGUGGAGGCGGUGAUGUAAGCGGGGAAGAAGGUGAACUGGGGUGGAGUGGGUAUGAUUGAAUGUGGGGAAGGAGAUGAAAUGAAAUGGGUUAAAAUGGGAUGGGAUGGGGAGGAAACUAAAGUUUUAAAGUUUUGGGAUUGUAAAUGGCACAUAUAAAAAAUUUGGUAUUAAUUUGUAAAAAAAUAAAAAGUUAGGGUAAUGCAACUGCAAUUAUUUCUUUUCUAAUUUUGGAAUUUUUGUUUUACCGUUUUUAACUUUUGAAAUAACGGAUCUUGAUGACGGGGUAUUUUGAACAAAAGGUUUUAAACCGGGAUCCUUUCUACGAUUUUCAAUAGGUAGAAAUUACAUGGUACAUGGACAAGUUUGUAGGUAAUAUCCUACUAUUAAUCCUUUAUUCAAACAUUCAGGUAAUGUACAAUAAGUUAAUUUUCAAAAUAUUUUAUUCACUAAUCUUGUUGAUCUCGUUUUCAGCUGGGGCUACGCGAACAACAGAUAUCGGACUUACCGUGCACACGGAAGCCUAGUCCAGCACGCUAAGACGUGCAAAUGGCUUGGAACGGUCUGAUGAAGGGCAUGGGAACGGCUCAAAGGCGCGGGACAGCAAUAUUCGGAAUUCGAC